GAUGAACGCACAAGACGUGCCUAACACAUGCAAAUCGAAUGAAAACAAUAAUUAUUGUUUUCAUGGUGAACGGGUGAGUAACACAUAAGAAUCAGCUUUUAGAUAAGGCAUAAAAGAGUAAUAUCUUGGUAAUUCCUUAUAUGCGCAGCAGUGCUUAAAAAGGGGAGUCCCGUCUAAAAACGAGCUUAUGCCUGAUUAGCUAGUUGGCGAGUUAAAAGCUCACCAAGGCGAAGAUCAGUAGCUGGCCUGAGAGGGCGGCCAGCCACAUUGGGACUGAGAC
rnacentral:rRNA from 1 species